CUACGGGUUGCUCCAGUGAGGAAUAUUGCACAAUGGGGGGAACCCUGAUGCAGCAACGCCGCGUGGAGGAUGACGCAUUUCGGUGUGUAAACUCCUUUUAUAUGUCAAGAAAAUGACGGUAGCAUAUGAAUAAGCACCGGCUAACUCCGUGCCAGCAGCCGCGGUAAUACGGAGGGUGCAAGCGUUACUCGGAAUCACUGGGCGUAAAGGACGCGUAGGCGGGUUGGAAAGUCAGGUGUGAAAUCCUACAGCUUAACUGUAGAACUGCACUUGAAACUUCUAAGCUGGAGUAUGGGAGGGGGAGAUGGAAUUAGUGGUGUAGGGGUAAAAUCCGUAGAUAUCACUAGGAAUACCUAAAGCGAAGGCGAUCUCCUGGAACAUUACUGACGCUAAGGCGUGAAAGCGUGGGGAGCAAACAGGAUUAGAUACCCCAGUAGUC
rnacentral:rRNA from 1 species